rnacentral:rRNA from 1 species
AACGUACGCUGGCGGCACGCCUAACACAUGCAAGUCGAACGCAGUAGCAAUACUGAGUGGCAAACGGGUGAGUAUAAUGUGGGAAUCUGCCUUUUGGUCUGGAAUAACACGAGGAAACUUGUGCUAAUACCGGAUAAGCCCUAACGGGGAAAGUUUUAAUGCCGAAAGAUGAGCCCGCACUUGAUUAGCUAGUUGGUAAGGUAAAAGCUUACCAAGGCAACGAUCAAUAGCUGUUCUUAGAGGAAGACCAGCCACAUUGGGACUGAGACACGGCCCAGACUCCUACGGGAGGCAGCAGUGGGGAAUCUUGCACAAUGGGGGAAACCCUGAUGCAGCGAUGCCGCGUGAGUGAAGAAGGCCCUUGGGUUGUAAAACUCUUUCGUCGGGGAAGAAAAUGACUGUACCCGAAUAAGAAGGUCCGGCUAACUUCGUG